rnacentral:misc_RNA from 1 species
AACAAGGCGUACCUGCGGACCUGCGGAAGGAUCAUUACCGAGUUUACAACUCCCAAACCCAUGUGAACAUACCUAUCGUUGCUUCGGCGGGAUCGCCCCGGGCGCCUCGUGUGCCCCGGAUCCGGCGCCCGCCUAGGAACCUUAACUCUUGUUUUAUUUUGGAAUCUUCUGAGUAGUUUUUACAAAUAAAUAAAAACUUUCAACAACGGAUCU